CGCAGCCCUUUCACAGUUCUCUGGUCGACGCGGUCGACCGGAAACUCAGCUUUGUGAGAGCUGCGCUCAGGCGUCGGGCAUCUGGGGUCCAUCAUCUGACAGAGUGGGAGCCAGCUAGAAGGACUGGAAGAGGCGUGAAGUAUGGAAGUCUGAUCUGCUCCUCACAUCUGGGAAAAUAGUGAAGUUUUUUUUUCUCCUAUCAAACAGGCAGUUCAAAGGUAUUUUUUCUUCAACCCCGCCAGUGAGCUACAACACCCCAACUUGGAGAUCACAUAAUCCCCAGUAGGUAAGGUCUAUAGCCCCUCCAACCAGAAGAAGCUAUAGAAGACAGAGACCUCUACGUGCAGUCCUCCAUAAAGAAUUAUGAGGCUAUGUGUCUCUUAGGGGAAAAUGAGACAGGAGAUUAAGGUGUGGUAAAGAUGGCUGGGGAAGCAGGUGUGAACUGUUAAUUACAAAAUCCC